rfam:Candidatus Nitrososphaera sp. 13_1_40CM_48_12 13_1_40cm_scaffold_5803, whole genome shotgun sequence.
GCGGUCAUGGUCUAGUGGUUAUGACAUGGGCUUCCCAAGCCUAUAACCCGGGUCCGAAUCCCGGUGACCGCA